AGAGCGAACGCUGGCGGCAGGCCUAAUACAUGCAAGUCGAGCGGUCCCUUCGGGGGCAGCGGCGGACGGGUGAGUAACGCGUGGGAACGUGCCCUUUGGUACGGAACAACUGAGGGAAACUUCAGCUAAUACCGUAUGUGCCCUUCGGGGGAAAGAUUUAUCGCCAUUGGAGCGGCCCGCGUUGGAUUAGGUAGUUGGUGAGGUAAAGGCUCACCAAGCCUACGAUCCAUAGCUGGUCUGAGAGGAUGAUCAGCCACACUGGGACUGAGACACGGCCCAGACUCCUACGGGAGCAGCAGUAGGGAAUCGUUGCGCAAGUGGGACGAAAGCCUAGACGCAGCCAUGCCGCGUGAAUGAUGAAGUCUAGAUUGUAAAUUCUUCGUACGGAGAUAAUGAGUACCGAAGAAGAACGACCCGACGUACUUCGUGCCA
rnacentral:rRNA from 1 species